ACGGGUGAGUAAUGUCUGGGGAUCUGCCCGAUAGAGGGGGAUAACCACUGGAAACGGUGGCUAAUACCGCAUAACGUCGCAAGACCAAGGAGGGGGACCUUCGGGCCUCUCACUAUCGGAUGAACCCAGAUGGGAUUAGCUAGUAGGCGGGGUAACGGCCCACCUAGGCGACGAUCCCUAGCUGGUCUGAGAGGAUGACCAGCCACACUGGAACUGAGACACGGUCCAGACUCCUACGGGAGGCAGCAGUGGGGAAUAUUGCACAAUGGGCGCAAGCCUGAUGCAGCCAUGCCGCGUGUAUGAAGAAGGCCUUCGGGUUGUAAAGUACUUUCAGCGGGGAGGAAGGCAGUGAGGUUAAUAACCUUACUGAUUGACGUUACCCGCAGAAGAAGCACCGGCUAACUCCGUGCCAGCAGCCGCGGUAAUACGGAGGGUGCAAGCGUUAAUCGGAAUUACUGGGCGUAAAGCGCACGCAGGCGGUCUGUUAAGUCAGAUGUGAAAUCCCCGGGCUUAACCUGGGAACUGCAUUUGAAACUGGCAGGCUUGAGUCUCGUAGAGGGGGGUAGAAUUCCAGGUGUA
rnacentral:rRNA from 1 species